rnacentral:rRNA from 1 species
CCCUUAGAUGUUCUUGGCCGCACGCGUGCUACACUGAGUGGAUCAGCGGGUCAGGUUGCGCGAAAGCGUUUCCUAAUCUUGAAAUCCGCUCGUGAUGGGGAUUGACGGUUGCAAUUUUCUGUCAUGAACGAGGAAUACCUUGUAAGCGCGAGUCAUCAUCCCGCGCUGAAUACGUCCCUGCCCUUUGUACACACCGCCCGUCGCUCCUACCGAUUGAGUGGUCCGGUGAGGCUUUGGGAUCUGAGCGGAAAGAGCGUUUCGCUCGUUCUGCCCGGAAAACUCAGUCGAACCUUAUCAUUUAGAGGAAGGAGAAGUCGUAACA